GUGGGGAAUUUUGGACAAUGGGCGCAAGCCUGAUCCAGCAAUGCCGCGUGCAGGAAGAAGGCCUUCGGGUUGUAAACUGCUUUUGUACGGAACGAAACGGUUCUCUCUAAUACAGGGGGCUAAUGACGGUACCGUAAGAAUAAGCACCGGCUAACUACGUGCCAGCAGCCGCGGUAAUACGUAGGGUGCAAGCGUUAAUCGGAAUUACUGGGCGUAAAGCGUGCGCAGGCGGUUUUGUAAGACAGAGGUGAAAUCCCCGGGCUCAAACUGGGAACUGCCUUUGUGACUGCAAGGCUGGAGUGCGGCAGAGGGGGAUGGAAUUCCGCGUGUAGCAGUGAAAUGCGUAGAUAUGCGGAGGAACACCGAUGGCGAAGGCAAUCCCCUGGGCCUGCACUGACGCUCAUGCACGAAAGCGUGGGGAGCAAACAGGAUUAGAAACCCCGGUAGUCC
rnacentral:rRNA from 1 species